CUCAGAGUCACGAAACGCCUUCCCGUAGCGAGAAACGAGCAGCCUUAGGUGCGUUCUUAAAUCCCGCCUCUACAGAAGAAGAGAUUCAGAGCACGGAGCUGGAGGCCACGGCCUUCCUUUGUUUCAGCUCAACCAGGUACAGCGUUUCGACAUCAGGAUGACUUCCAACGAGUGGAAUCCGUUAACAGCUCCAGUCGCGUUAUGGCAAGUCCCAUCAGCGCCUCAUCCUAAUAUCGAGACUCUAGAAGACAUCACGAUUUGUUCAUCCAGUUUCAUUUACAGAAUGACAGUGCGUUAGGGUGACAUCUGCAAGGAUGAGAGAAAAAUACAAGAAAUGGUGGAAAGAUUCAAGGGUUGGCAUCGAGAAUAAGCUUAUCAGAGACAACCGAAGAUAUUUGAUUAUGACGCAACCAAAAAAUUGGACCAAAAACAUUAAAAUUACUGUAAUUACGUAAAAAAUACAAUGAAUUAUUAAUUUCUAGAGUCAAACAAAA